rnacentral:misc_RNA from 1 species
UGUGGGAGCGGGCUUGCUCGCGAUUGGGGUUUGACAGUCAGUACAUCUGUUACUGAUACACCGCCAUCGCGGGCAAGCCCGCUCCCACA